UCCUCGUUGAAGCGAGGCAGUCUGUCCAGAGUGCUCCAGCCUCUCGGCCGGGUGGCAACAGGACACAGGGGUUGCGCCCGUUGCGGGACUUAACCCAACAUCUCACGACACGAGCUGACGACAGCCAUGCAGCACCUCCACGGCAGCCCCGAAGGGAAACUCCAUCUCUGGAGCGGUCCACCGCAGUUCAAACCCAGGUAAGGUUCUUCGCGUUGCGUCGAAUUAAACCACAUGCUCCACCGCUUGUGCGGGCCCCCGUCAAUUCCCUUGAGUUUCAACCUUGCGGCCGUACUCCCCAGGCGGAACGCUUAAUGCGUUAGCUGCGCCACUGAAUAGCAAGCUAUCCAACGGCUAGCGUUCAUCGUUUACGGCGUGGACUAC
rnacentral:misc_RNA from 1 species